CCGGUCCCGACCGCUAUCGGGGUGGGGCUAAGCCAUGGGAGUCGCACGCUCCGCCGCUGCGGGGCGUGGCGGACGGCUGAGUAACACGUGGCUAACCUACCCUCGGGAGGGGGAUAACACCGGGAAACUGGUGCUAAUCCCCCAUAGGGGAGGAGGCCUGGAAGGGUUCCUCCCCGAAAGGGUGUGGCAGGGGUUAACGCUGCUACACCGCCCGAGGAUGGGGCUACGGCCCAUUAGGUUGUUGGCGGGGUAACGGCCCGCCAAGCCGAUAAUGGGUAGGGGCCGUGAGAGCGGGAGCCCCCAGAUGGGCACUGANACAAACCGUGACGGGGCCACCCCNNNNNNNCCCUUACGGGGGCUUUUCCCCGCUGUAGGAAGGCGGGGGAAUAAGCGGGGGGCAAGUCUGGUGUCAGCCGCCGCGGUAAUACCAGCCCCGCGAGUGGUCGGGACGAUUAUUGGGCCUAAAGCGCCCGUAGCCGGCCCGGCAAGUCCCCUCCUAAAUUCCCGGGCUCAACCCGGGNACUGGAGGGGAUACUGCCGGGCUAGGGGGUGGNAGAGNCCGAGGGUACUCCCGGGGUAGGGGNGAAAUCCUAUAAUCCCGGGAGGACCACCAGUGGCGAAGGCGCUCGGCUGCGAACCNGAUUAGAUANCCGGGUAGUCCCGGCUGUAAACGAUGCGGGCUAGGUGUUNNGUNGGCUUAGAGCCCACCCAGUGCCGCAGGGAAGCCGUUAAGCCCGCCGCCUGGGGAGUACGGCCGCAAGGCUGAAACUCAAAGGAAUUGGCGGGGGAGCACCACAAGGGGUGGAGCCUGCGGUUCAAUUGGAGUCAACGCCGGGAAUCUCACCGGGGGAGACAGCAGGAUGACGGCCAGGUUAAAGGCCUUGCCUGACGCGCUGAGAGGAGGUGCAUGGCCGUCGCCAGCUCGUGCUGUGAAGUGUCCGGUUAAGUCCGGAAACGAGCGAGACCCCCACCCCUAGUUGCUACCCGGGGCUACGGCUCCGGGGCACACUAGGGGGACUGCCGCCGUUUAAGGNNNAGGAAGGAGGGGGCCACGGCAGGUCAGCAUGCCCCGAACCCCCCGGGCUACACGCGGGCUACAAUGGCGGGGACAGCGGGAUCCGACCCCGAAAGGGNNAGNCAAUCCCUCAAACCCCGCCGUGGUUGGGAUCGAGGGCUGCAACUCGCCCUCGUGAACGAGNAAUCCNUAGUAACCGCGCGUCAACAUCGC
rnacentral:rRNA from 1 species